ensembl:lncRNA
CCAUAGGGACACAUAGAGACCCCAUAGGGAGACAGAGACCCAUAGGGACCCCAUAGAGACCCAUAGAGACCCCAUAGGGACCCAUAAGGCUCCCCCAUGGCUGUGGGGCACACAGCGGCCCUAUAGCGACCCCAUAGCGACCCCAUAGGGACACAUAGGGACCCCAUAGGGACCCAUAAGGCUCCCCCAUGGCUGUGGGGCACAGCACGGCCCUAUAGCGACCCCAUAGCGACCCAUAGGGACACAUAGGGACUCAUAGAGACCCCAUAGCGACCCCAUGGGGACACAUAGAGACCCCAUAGGGACACAUAGCAACCCCAUAGGGAGCCACAGACCCACAGAGACCCCAUAGAGACACAUAGAGACCCCAUAGGGACCCCAUAGAGACCCCAUAGGGAGCCACAGACUCACAGAGACCUCAUAGAGACACAUAGAGACCCCAUAGGGACCCCAUAGUGACCCCAUAGGGACCCAUAAGGCUCCCCCAUGGCUGUGGGGCACAGCACGGCCCUAUAGUGACCCCAUACCGACCCCAUAGGGAGCCACAGACCCACAGAGACCCCAUAGAGACACAUAGAGACCCCAUAGGGACACAUAGAGACAAACAGGGACCCAUAGAGACACAUAGAAACACAUAGAGACACAUAGCCACCCAUAGGGACCCCACAGGUACCCCAUAGAGACCCAUAGGGACCCAUAGGGAGCCACAGACCCAUAGAGACACAUAGAGACCCCAUAGAGACCCAUAGGGACACAUAGAGACCCCAUAGGGACACAUAGAGACCUCAUAGGGACCCACAGAGCACAUAGAGACCCAUAGAGACCCAUAGAAACCCAUAGGGACCCCACAGGGACCCAUAAGGCUCCCCCAUGGCUGUGGGGCACAACAGGGCCCUAUAGCGACUCCAUAGCGACCCCAUAGCGACCCCAUAGGAACCCCAUAGGGAGCCACAGACCCAUAGAAACCCCAUAGAGACCCCAUAGGGAGCCCAUAGGGACCCAUAGAGACCCCAUAG